GACGAACGCUGGCGGCGUGGAUUAGGCAUGCAAGUCGAACGGUAUCAUCCUUUCGGGGGUGAGAGAGUGGCGAACUGGUGAGUAACACGUAGGUUAUCUACCCUCAAGACGGGGACAACCCAGGGAAACUUGGGCUAAUACCGGAUGUGAGCAACUUUUUAGUUGUUUGAAAGGUGGCGUAAGCUGUCGCUUGGGGAUGAGCCUGCGUCCUAUUAGUUAGUUGGUGAGGUAACGGCUCACCUAGGCAAUGAUAGGUAGGCGGCCUUAACGGGUGGUCGCCCACACUGGGAUUGAGAUACGGCCCAGACUCCUACGGGAGGCAGCAGUCGAGAAUAGUCUACAAUGGUCGGAAGACUGAUAGUGCGACGCCGCGUGAACGAUGAAUCCCUUCGGGGUGUAAAGUUCUUUUAUAUGUGAGCAGUGCUUCUUAUAUUAACAGUAUGGGGAAGAGAUAUUAGCAUAUGAAUAAGCAACGGCUAACUCCGUGCCAGCAGCCGCGGUAA
rnacentral:rRNA from 1 species